rnacentral:rRNA from 1 species
UACGGGGGGGGUAAGCGUUGUUCGGAAUUACUGGGCGUAAAGGGCUCGUAGGCGGCCAACUAAGUCGGACGUGAAAUCCCUCAGCUUAACUGGGGAACUGCGUCCGAUACUGGAUGGCUUGGAUUUGGGAGAGGGAUGCGGAAUUCCUGGUGUAGCGGUGAAAUGACGCAGAUAUCAGGAGGAACACCGGUGGCGAAGGCGGAUCUCUGGGCCAUUACUGACGCUGAGGAGCGAAAGCGUGGGGGAGCGAACAGG